CGCAAGCCUGACGGAGCAACGCCGCGUGCGGGAGGACGGCCUGUGGGUUGUAAACCGCUUUUCUCAGGGAAGAAGAUCUGACGGUACCUGAGGAAUCAGCAUCGGCUAACUCCGUGCCAGCAGCCGCGGUAAUACGGAGGAUGCAAGCGUUAUCCGGAAUUAUUGGGCGUAAAGCGUCCGCAGGCGGUCUUUCAAGUCUGCUGUUAAAGGCUGGGGCUUAACUCCGGACAGGCAGUGGAAACUGAGUGACUAGAGUGCGGUAGGGGUCGAGGGGAUUCCCAGUGUAGCGGUGAAAUGCGUAGAUAUUGGGAAGAACACCGGUGGCGAAGGCGCUCUACUGGGCCGCAACUGACGCUGAGGGACGAAAGCUAGGGGAGCG
rnacentral:rRNA from 1 species